rnacentral:pre_miRNA from 1 species
UUUUCAGUAUAAGUAUGUCCCAUGCACAAACUGGGAUAUACUUAUACUAAAA